ACUGUGAUUCCCUUAGUAACUGCGAGUGAAGCGGGAAAAGCCCAUCGUUUAAUCUCCCCGGACUGUGGACGGGGCGACAUGUAACGGUAUGGAUAGGUUCUCUAUCAACUCUGUCUGGCCAAAGUCCUCCGGAUUGAGGUGCCAAAGAGGGUGACAGCCCCGUGUGUGGCUGGACAGGGUUGAGUAUGUGGCCGAUUCCGAGAGUCGGGUUGUUUGGGACUGCAACCUAAAGCAGGUGGUAAACUCCACCCAAGGCUAAAUAUUGACACGAAACCGAUAGCGAAUAAGUACUGUGAAGGAAAGUUGAAAAGAACUCUGAAAAGAGAGUUAAAAGUACGUGAAACCGCUAACGGGGAAGCGGAAGGCAGUGUCGAGAUUGGGUGAGUGAGUCACUUUAAACUCGUUUUGAAACGGGUUUGGGGUGGCUAGCUUUGCCCGAUGCGUCAGGACUAUUGGUGUGCGGUGGCUCAAUCGUCGGCAGGGCUUCCACGACACCUGCGUCAUGUUUCGAUGUGGCGUGGGCUCGUGGUUGCGGCAGGCGAUCCGCCUCGUGCGCUGGUAUGUAUGUGGUGAGGCGUUGGUGAUGUAGUGUCGGUUGGUGUUGCGUGGUGCCCCGCGUAGUCACAUUGUGGCUACGUGUGGGGAAGUCGUGUGAUAGUUCAACAACCAGUGCCAGUUCCUGACGUGAUACCUAACCUUCCGACCCGUCUUGAAACACGGACCAAGGAGGCAGAAUCUAGAGCGAGUUGGAGGGUGGAAAACCCGACGGCGCAGUGAAAGCGAGAGAUGAGACCCUGCAGCUUCGGCUGGGGGGGCAUCAUCGGCCAGUCAUCUUUUUGUUGGGUGAUUGAGUUUGAGCUGUAGAUGCUGGACCCGAAAGAUGGUGAACUAUGCGUGAGCAGGGCGAAGCCAGAGGAAACUCUGGUGGAGGCUCGUAGCGAUUCUGACGUGCAAAUCGAUCGUUUGACUUGCGUAUAGGGGCGAUAGACUAAUCGAACCAUCUAGUAGCUGGUUCCCUUCGAAAUAUCCCUCAGGAUCGCUGAGACAAGUGGGAGACAGUUUCAUCGGGUAGAGCGAAUGAUUAGAGGCAUCGGGGAUAUAUUACUCUCGACCUAUUCUCAAACUUCCAACCGGUGAGAGCGCCGUUUUCUUGAKUGAAAUGGCGCGUUGAAUGUUUUUGUCUCAAGUGGGCCAUUUUUGGUAAGCAGAACUGGCGAUGCGGGAUGAACCGAGAGUUGAGCUAAGGUGCCUAAGGACACGUUGAUAGAUACCACAAAAGGAGUCGGUCGAUAAAGACAGCAGGGCGGUGGCCCUGAAAGUAGGAAUCCGCUAAGGAAUUGUCUAAAAACUCACCUGCCGAAUCGACCGGCCCUGAAAAUGGAUGGCGCUGAAUCGUGUCACCGAUGCUCGACCUCUACCACGAGAGAUGUUGGUAGGGGGUAGAAGGGCGCGGC
rnacentral:rRNA from 1 species